GGUUCGAACUGGAGCUCUGACAUUGUGUGUACCAGACAAGGGCAUGGCAGUGGCCUACUACAGAGCUCUUGUCUAACUACUGACCCUUUAGAAUCCCUCGGAAGCAGUUAAACCGUCACUUGCAUUCUAGAAUGUGAAAUAUAUAUUGUCAACUCCCCAAAACCAUAAAACUAACUUUAUGGACCCCACGUGACUUUUGAGAGCCAGUAAGGGGUAUCUGUCCGUGGCUUGGGCGAUUUUUACGAUCUAACUUCAAGAUAAAACCCUCAUCCGUUUGACAUGUAAAUGUCAUAGCUUCUUUUGUAUAGUUUGGCCAAAGGGGAAAGCAAAUUUUCAAAACGCAAUUUGGCCAGGCAGCGCCGGGCAGAUGGGGACUUUUGGCAGGACCUUUACUCGGCUCUAAAAAGUAGCGUAGGACCAGAAACAACGGUUGAGAACCCACCGGUCUCCUUAUAACUUUACAAACAACAAGGUAAAGCCAGCUGAAGUACUCUAACUUUUGUGGACAAAACUGCACGGCAGAAAAGUUGUCUACAAAUUGCAUGAGAAGCAACACACUGGAUACCAAUUCAUUGAACAUUACACAAUAUAUAUGGACUAUGACCGGAAAUCCAAGUGAAGAUGCGUCUGACUGUAGGGAGAAAAAGUUGUGAUUUGUUUAUACAGACCAGGGAGGAAACACUCGCCUGUCACUUUUUGUCAUAUUUCCCGGAACUACCUCAUAGUCCCCCGAGUUCCGCAUGACAUAUAUAUGCAUAUGUAAGUAUGUGCUCUUUUCAUGGUCUUGCAUUGUUCUGUAUAUUUGUUUAAGAUAUAAUAUAUUAAUACAUGUAUGUAUAUGAGUAUGUGUGUGAAACAAAGUCAAGUAGUAAUAGGCCUAUAUUUCUUUGUAAAUGUUAUAUUUUCUACUGUGGAUAAAAGUUUUUUUUUACGCGCAGCAUUUUGAUGGAAAUAAUUGUCUUACAAGUAUAUUUUUGCACGAAUAAACAUCUCGAUUGUUAAUAACUGCGUAUAAUGUCAAAAGGCCAAUUUUGUCGAUUGUAGAUUUUCAUAGGCCUAUCUGUAAUCUUGGUGAUAAUGUAGUAGGCCUUUCAUUAAAAUACAAGAAAAUUGUAAA